GAGAGCGUGGAAGCGCCGAGAGCCCGGGCCGGAGAGGUGCGGGGGAGGGGGGAGCCGAGCCCGAGCGGGGGGCGGCCGGGGAACCGAGAACUCCGCCCCCGGCCCCCCCAGCCCGCUAUCACAGCGAAAUCCCAGAGUCGGGCGCCCGCCCCAAGUGGAGACAAAGAGCUGCGGAGCGGGCGGCAAAGUCGUCGGCGGGCGCCGAGGCCGGGCGGCGGGAGCGGGCUUUGUGCUCCUAGGGCUCGGCGGGCUGCAGCCGGCCGCCUUCCCCUGGCUGCGUGGACAGUGUCAACGCCUGGGGCUGCGUGGACAUCGUCGGCUCCCCGGCAGGUCCAGAGCUGGGUCCCAGGGCCGGGGGCUCCUCCCGGGGCGAGCGCGGGUCCCCUUUGGAUUACUCAGCGCGUAGAACCUGGAGCGGGGUGCGCGGGGGCAACCCCAAGCAUCCGGGGCGAGCGGGUCUGAUCCUAGAGGCAGCCGGGUCGGGGACUCGCGACGAGAAGAGGAAGAAGGCAGGCACUGAAGGUGGCUGCUCGGGGCCGCAGGAGCGCGGGAGGGUGAGGGCUGGAGCCCGGCGCGGGCGCUUCGACGCCCCCCCUCGGAGAGGAGAGCCUGCUGUUCCGUCUGCUACUGCCGCCGACGCCGCCGCCAACCCUUCCCAGGGCCGGGGAGGAACUCCGGGUUCAGUAGGUGCAAAUCAAUCGCCCUGGCAUCUUAUUCCAGCGAGCACGGGAAACCUCAGCAAAGGGGUCCUCGCUGCUCCCAACUUGAGCUAUGCGAACCCAGCGAGGAGCGCUCGGCGCCACCGCCGCUGCCGCCUCACAGCGCGCAGGCAGGAGAGCGCUGGAGGAGAGACGCAGCCUGAGACAGGGAGCUCUGCGGCUUCCUUCCUUCCCCUCGGCCCGGCUCUCUCCGAGCCCCGAGAAACCCCCGAACACAAACAACACACACACACACCAAAAAAAGUGCCUCGGACCUGCGGAUACCACACACAGACAGGCGAGGGGGACG
rnacentral:lncRNA from 1 species